AAUGUUCAAAACCAUGAAUUUGUCCUCCUCCUGUACUCCACCUGUCCACCAUGAGCGCCUCCUCCUUCGGUCCUCCCCCGGGAUCCGCCUCCCCUUCCCCCCGUGGUUGGGCGCUGCAUCUCCUCCUGCCCUGCUUCCUCCUCCCAACCCCUCGCGUCGCCGGUGCUAAAUCCGGCUUCUCUACCAUUCCCUUAGCGCAGUCCUUCACGCCUGCCGGCCAACUACCAGCGCAUCACCCUGUUUGAGGGAGUGGAUUCCCAUCACUUGAUUCUUGGAUAAGAUGAGGAGAUGCAAGAUAGUCCACAAAACCAUGGGCCAAACCUAUAGCUGUAUCUGCCUUGUUAAGUGACAAUAUAUCAAGAUCUGGAACAUCGUGGAGCAACGAGUGACAGUCUGACAGAAGUAUGAGAUGAGACCUGGAACAUUGCGGGUGACUCUUUGUUGAUUGGACAUAUGAGACGCAAGCGGGUUCUACAAUCUCAUGUGUUGCUGCAUCUUGAUCUCCUGCAUUGAUGUAACUUUGUUCUGCUGCUCGAGUGUGUGAUCAUAUUAGGCCUCCAUGAUCUUGUGCUCCUACUAUACUUGUCUGAACUUUGUUAAUGUUGUUAGAAGAAGCAGGAGCAAAGCAUAUGCAUGCUUCCACGGUGAGUUUGGAGUUUACCCUAUGUCCCUGGAAGUUGAAACUAGCUCUCAUGUGAGCGAUGACCUUUUCUUAGCCAUGGUGAUUUUGAGGCUUACCCUCUGUUCUUGCUAGCUAAAAUCGGUUUCUUGUUGAAUAAUGUUCAUCCCGUUGUACCCGGAAAUACAAAUGAAACUACAAAAGACUCGAGUCGCAUUUUCUUGAUAUAUCCGGCAAGGGAUCUGAUUGUACCCAAAUGUGAUACAUCCCACUCUUCGUUAGCUUGAAUUGGAAGUUGUAGUGGCUGAACAAGACUAGGAUCAUGUUUAUGAUGCAUAUUCCAUCGAUACAGAGGUAUGAAUCAUGUGGUUGACAUUGGUAAAAACUCUCAGUGAGCACCUUACCUCCUAAAUUAAUAGUGAGAAGUUGUAUAUUUUACUUUUAGGAGGUUUGAAUUUAUUAUUUGGGAUGUAUGCAUAUAUGUUACUGGUUAGCAUGAUACUGUUAGAGGAAGUUUUAGUGCUCUUUAUGGUUGAUGGUGGCGUGCCGCUCCAAGCCACUAUGCUUUCCAUCAAUGCCGGCAACCACAACAGGGGUGGAUCAGCCGCCAAGAGGCAGAGCGGCGGUUAAUGCGAUGGCCUGCUCCCAAGCUGCAGGUGAGAAGGUGACGCAGCAGUGGUUGGAUUGCAUAAAUAUUAACCAAUGCAUUCUGAGAAUAUUUUGUGAGGUAUCCUGAUUGCCAUAUCACAGGUUGUUAGAGCAGUUUAAGCAGGCACACGUGUUCUACUUUUGGUAAAUUUGCUAUCGGUGCCAUAACAGGGCUAGGUUCAGUACCUUCUUUUUUGCUUUCUUACAUAAUGGCUGAAUCAAAUGCUCAAGUUAGUGUAUUAUUUAACAAUAACAUGGCCAUUGUGGUGCCUGUUGGGCCUUUGGUGUUGUGGAGUGUCACAAGAUCGUUUCUGCAUUCCUCAUGGCAUGAACAUUUCACUUUCUAUCAAUAAGCAUUUAUCUUGAUGUUAACUUGGUGUAAGGUAGCCUUGACGAUGUGCUGAGGCGGUCUGCUCAGUGACUGUUAGUAAGGUUGCUCAUCGGCAAGUGUAAGUGCCUUGUGGAUACUUGCAUGACUAAGAAAGAAAUUUGUUAUUUGAAGUAUGCGCUAGAGAUAUUACAAGGGCACGAGGCCAGGCCAUUCAAACAAACCUUGCUGCCACCAAGUUUUGUUCUUAGUUAUGCCUGCGACUAUUCUAAUCGGCAUGACAAAAAACUAUGGGAGGAAUCAAAGGCACGCAUCUGAUCUCAGCAAAGGAGCAUAAAUCGCCUGAAAACUAGGGGAGAUGUCAAUAACACACGAAUGCGGGCCAGAUCUGUGCAUCAGAGCAGUUUGAGGCAAUAAGAAAGGGGCAGGAAUCUCACCAAUUUUAGAGACACACUAACACUAGGGGUUCGUUUCCGAAAGAAGAGCCUCUCUCACCAAACAGAGCCGCCGAGGAAGAGGAGGGAAUAAAUAGAUCGAUCGAUAACAAGCCGCUUCAUAUUCUACACCGAGCGGGCCAGCCAAUCAAAACUCUUCGUGGGCCGGACACCGAGCGGGUCAACCCAGGAAAUCUUACAUACCUUCUACAUCUACAUGCUACUCCCUUUGUCCUAAAAUAAUUGUCUUAACUUUGUAUUAAUUUUAGUACAAAGUUGUACUAAGCUUGAGCACUUAUUUUGGAACGAAGGGAGUAUUAGACAUGCAUUUUUAGUCAAUUAAUAAUAGAGUAAAGAAAAGGCAUGCAUAUGUUUUUAAGCAACACGGCAUGUGUUGGAGAUAUGCCCCAGAGGCAAUCAUGUAUGAUGAUAUUUUCUAUGUCUUUACGAAUAAA